UGGACGACAUGCUAGAUUUCGGCUCUGAUCCGACUACCCAAUUUCGAAUAUUGCGUAUUGACAAGGGAUAUAACGUAUUUUUAAGAUUUAGCAUAUGGAAAGAAACCUGAAUAAUUUUUUAAACCGGAUUUGGUACGCCAAAUUUGGUGUACCAGUAUAUGGACCUAAAUCCUACGACUUUUGUAUAAAACAUUUUUCAAGAAAGCGCAUAUUUUACGAAACAUUUAACCAUUUCUAAACUUUUGGGCCGCGGAGUGCGUAAACCACACACGGACGGCUACAUACAAGAAGCGAUAAAUUUUGGUAGAGAUUAGUAAUUUAUUUAUAUUCAAGUUAAACGGAGCGCUGACACAUGAGCAACAUCAAUACUCAAGAUCAAUAUACCGAUAAUCUCUAUUUAGAAUACUGUAUAUGAAUGAAUAUCUACUUCGAACUUGAUCCGACUAAAUUUCUAUCCAGGUGUAUUUAUUUUCUAGAUGCCUGCAUUAAUUGAUCCAGAUGUUAAGCGAGAAUUCGAAUCUCACGUUCCAGGUAUUUCAAUUCGAUGAGAUGCGAUUGUUAGAAAGCGAAUUAUAUUUUACCAGUCGUGUCUUGGAUUGAAAAUUGAGAUAGUGACAACAUCACUUGAUUUUCGAUUUAAUAUCAUUUCGAUCAUGUGAUUGCGCAUCGAAACGACUCACUGAACUCGACAAUCAAGUCGCGGAAUGACUCUGGAUCAAGUUCGUUUCGUUCCUUCUGUCCGAGUUUUUCAAAUCCAUCAUUACGUCGACCGGCUCUGUCUUUGAACUUCUAUGCAUGUGCAGCAUGGGAAGAGCGAAUCGUAUGCACGCAUGAACGCAUUACCGAAAAGCUCGAUUAAUGCGUGGAGACCUGAUUAACAUGACAAUGGCAGCCUUGCAUGUAGAUAUAAAUUAAUACGUAUUCUUCUUCCCGGUGGAAGGACGACCGAUCAUGCCAGCAAUGCUGUGUCCCUUUCGCGCGUAAUGAUGCGGUCGCUUGAUAAAUCACCCUUCCGGUCCUAACUAGAUCGCGUUGUGCUCGAUAAAGUCUUUCGCUUUUGCAAAAAAAAAAAAAAAAGGAUUGAGGUCUCUCUCAGGAUUUUCAACCGCUCGGUAUGUUGGCUACUUUGCAAUUGCAAAUUAUGAAAAACAAUUUACACCAUAGAUAAUCAUCGAAAGCAUCAAUAUAACACAUCAAUACAACCAACCAGGUAAGUUGAACGACCUAUCGUUCCUUCUUUUCAUUGUAGGUUUACCGGUUUUACAGGUAACAAUAAUGCCUUCAUCAAAUUAAAAUUAUUUACCACAGUCAAAAUUUACCUGCUCCUAUUUUAAUCUAUUGGAACCUUCUUGUGAAUCUUGUUCACAAUGACCUUCUUGUGAAUUUUUCAAAAACAUCGAUUCACCAGAAUCUUACAAUAGAAAGGCCGCAUCUUUUUUCUCACUAUUUUUUUCUACGCAUGAUUUUUCAGCACAAAAACUCAUCUUUUCACUUAUUUAUCCCUACUGAAUAAUAUCUUUUCUUGCAAUCUGAAAUAUAAAUUAUAAUUAUAUUUACACUGACAGAAAAGAAUGAUUGAAUAGUUAUUUGCUUAAAUAGUUAAAUGCUUGAAUAUUUAUUCCAAACAAGUAAUAUUUUCUAAAUUAUAUAAAGUCUUACUUGUUUGAAAUAAAUAUUAAUGGUUUUUUAUAAAAUGUUAUUAGUACUAUUCAAAUAAAUAUUUAUCAAGCAUCCUUUUCUGUCAGUGUAUUACUUUAUUAAUUAUAAUUAUAAUUACCAUUAGUAUUUUAUAAUAUAUAGUAUAAAAGAAUGGAUCAAUGGAUAGAUUUUGGCUUCUGAAGCAGCAAAACGACAUGUUUUUUUUAGUUUCUGAAUUAAAAUAAAUAAUAUUUAAAAUAAGUAGAUAAAUUAAUGUAAUCGUGUCACCGACAUGUGUUUUUAACAUUGAUCUUUUUCAGAACAAAAUUUUGUAAUUUUUUAAAUCAAAAUGCCAUUAAAAGGAAUACAACUUCUUGCUAUGCUACGGAUCUCAUAAAGAAAUAAACAUACGUAUAUCAAUAGUCAUGCAAUGUAUAUCAUUUGAUAACAGAUCUUAAGACAUGUCGAUCUGGCAUAACCAUGCAUCAGUAAAGGAAAAGUGAUGGAGGUAGGUUCAGUUGCUUAUGCAUUUCGGUCUUACGGGACGAACUUGCGCCAUGUGUGCCACAUUACGUCAAAUACAGCGGUGAAAGCAGCUGCAACGUCGUGACACGCGUCCAUUGUCGGUAUUUCGUGAGCAAAAAUGAAAUAUCGUCCCUCGUAUUCCUGUUCUCUCGCCGUACAAAAUCCCUUUGGCCUUUGCCCUCUGAUGUGAGGAUCACCUGGACCACGGAAGAGAAAGAAAGAGAAACAGAGAUAGAUAAAUAGAGAGAUAGAAAGGGAGAGUGAUUCCUCGGGAGAUUCUCACGGUUUGAUACUUUUUCUCUUUCCUUGAUCGCGCUGUAAAAUCUGUUCUCUGUAUAAUUUCCGUUAUUUUUUAAUUUAAAAAAUCCUGGAGUAUAUUAAAAAAAAAAAGCAAAUACGCAAUAUAUGAAGUAAUUUAAUAUCAUAAUGUAUCAUAAAA
rnacentral:lncRNA from 1 species